rnacentral:tRNA from 1 species
GCCCGAAUGGCGAAACUGGUAGACGCAUGGGACUUAAAAUCCCCGCUCGUAAGGGCGUCCCGGUUCGAUUCCGGGUUCGGGCACCA